rnacentral:rRNA from 1 species
AUAAACACAUCUGUUAGCCUGAAUGCCAGAUGUCGUCUCAUAUCAGAAGCUAAGCAGGGUUGGGCCUGGUUAGUACUUGGAUGGGAGACUGCUGGGAAUACCCGAAGCUUCUC